rnacentral:rRNA from 1 species
UCGAGAAUAUUCCACAAUGGGCGAAAGCCUGAUGGAGCGACGCCGCGUGCAGGAAGAAGGCCUUCGGGUUGUAAACUGCGGUAGUCUGUUAAUAACUAAGGUGAAUGACAGACGGAAAGAGGUUGGUAACUACGUGCCAGCACCCGCGGUAAUACGUAGACCUCGAGCGUUAUCCGGAUUUAUUGGGCGUAAAGGGUGUGUAGGGGGCAUUGCGCGUCUCAUGUUAAAUCUUGAUGCCUAACAUCAAGACUGCAUGGGAUACGGCAAAGCUAGAGGGCGCUAGAGGUGAAUAGAACGCACGGUGUAGGGGUGAAAUCCGUUGAUAUCGUGCGGAAUACCAAAGGCGAAGGCAGUUCACUGGGGCGCACCUGACCCUGAAACACGAAAGCGUGGGGAGCAA